GAGGCAGGGACGGGCCGGCUGACGAGGGCGUCAGGGAAAAGUAGGCGUUGAGGAAGAGGAAGAGGUCGUCGAGGAAGAAGCAUAUGAAGGAGGACAGGGGGCCCAUUGAGGGAGAAGAGGUGGUAGGGUCUGGGUCGUCGUCCGGCGGGAAGGAUGGCGGGUGCAGGGACGGGGCGAGGAGGAUGAUGGAUGGGAGAGGGAGAUCCGAGAGGUGAACGGCAGCACAAUUGGAUUCCAGUUUACAGUUCACAUCAUGAUUUAUUGUUCUUGAUUUGUCCAUCAACUGGAUUAUUUCGAAGCUCAUAGUUCAUCAGGAGAUGCAACAGUUUAGGUGGAAAGCAUGACCAUUUAGAGUGGAGAGACAACCAUGAUGCCAACCAAUUUUGAGUGAUUACAUACCUCAAAACUUCUGUGAUGAUCAUCACACACCUUGUAAACUAUCCCAAAACUUCUCUGAUGUUCAGUCGGCCAGCCAUGCUUGAGGGUACCGUUAUAUAUGGCGGGUCCCAUGAUUACACGAAAUCAUCAGAGAUCUGGGUCAAGUACCG